UUCCACAAGAACUUGGGGGGUUGAGCCAGAUUCGCGCUUUAAACCUGUCUCACAAUCAGCUGACUGGACCCAUUCCAGUGAGCUUCUCAAAUCUUGCAAAUAUAGAAAGCUUGGACCUUUCUUCAAACAGUUUGACCGGAAAAGUUCCGUCAGAACUGAUUCAGAUCAAUUUUCUAUCUUUUUUCGAUGUGUUUCACAACAAUUUGUCGGGUAGACUCCCAGAAAUGAAAGGACAGUUUAGUACCUUUACAAAAGCGAGCUACCAAGGCAAUCCACUUCUUUGUGGACCACCACUAGACAAUAGAUGCAUAACUCAGUCGCAGGCUUCUAAAGAAGAAAAACGCACUGAGAAAUGAUGGUAGCUAAACUCGGUUGAAGAGUGUAUGUAUGCAUGCUGUUACUUCAUUUAUGAUUCACUAAGAAAGCCUUGUAUGAUCUUCCGCAAGUAGGACCUCGUGUUACAUUAUAAACAUCAACUUACUUUUGUAUCGAUCUGAAUUUUUCUGUUUGAUAUAUGUAUGAUGAUGAUGCACAAUAAUACCCUAGUAGUGAGAUUAUAAGUGGGUAUGUUGUUGCUUGCAGUCUGUUAGGAGUUAAA